UACGGAGGAUCCGAGCGUUAUCCGGAUUUGUUGGGUUUAAAGGGUGCGCAGGCGGGAUGUUAAGUCGGCGGUGAAAUUUUGCAGCUCAACUGUAAAAGUGCCUUCGAAACUGGUUUCCUUGAGUGUAGAUGAAGUAGGCGGAAUUUGUGGUGUAGCGGUGAAAUGCAUAGAUAUCACGAGGAACUCCGAUUGCGCAGGCAGCUUACUAAACUACUACUGACGCUCAGGCACGAAGGCGUGGGGAUCAAACAGGAUUAGAUACCCUGGUA
rnacentral:rRNA from 1 species